GCUUGCUUCAGCCGCACAUACACUAAAACUGGAACUAUACAGAGAAGAUUAGCAUGGCCCCUGCACAAGAACGACACAAAAAUUUGUUAAGCAUUCCAUAUUAAA